rnacentral:rRNA from 1 species
GCUUCGGCCUGCCGGCGAGUGGCGAACGGGUGAGUAAUGCAUCGGAACGUGCCCAGUCAUGGGGGAUAACUACGCGAAAGCGUAGCUAAUACCGCAUACGCCCUGAGGGGGAAAGUGGGGGAUCUUCGGACCUCACGUGAUUGGAGCGGCCGAUGUCAGAUUAGCUAGUUGGUGAGGUAAAGGCUCACCAAGGCGACGAUCUGUAGCGGGUCUGAGAGGAUGAUCCGCCACACUGGGACUGAGACACGGCCCAGACUCCUACGGGAGGCAGCAGUGGGGAAUUUUGGACAAUGGGCGCAAGCCUGAUCCAGCCAUGCCGCGUGAGUGAAGAAGGCCUUCGGGUUGUAAAGCUCUUUCGCAAGGGAAGAAAACGUGUGGGCUAAUAUCCUGCGCGGAUGACGGUACCUUGACAAGAAGCACCGGCUAACUACGUGCCAGCAGCCGCGGUAAUACGUAGGGUGCGAGCGUUAAUCGGAAUUACUGGGCGUAAAGCGUGCGCAGGCGG